rnacentral:rRNA from 1 species
AGCAGCCGCGGUAAUUCCAGCUCCAAUAGCGUAUAUUAAAGUUGUUGCAGUUAAAAAGCUCGUAGUUGAAUUUCGGGAUCAGUACGUCGGUCGUGCCUUCGGUAUGCACUGGUGUCACUGGUUCCUCCCUUCUGACGAACCGUCAUGCCAUUAAUUUGGUGUGGCGGGAAAUCAGGACUGUUACUUUGAAAAAAUUAGAGUGUUUAAAGCAGGCUCACGCUUGAAUACAUUAGCAUGGAAUAAUGAAAUAGGACGUUGUUCUUAUUUUGUUGGUUUCUAGGAUUGACGUAAUGAUUAAUAGGGAUAGUUGGGGGCAUUAGUAUUCAAUUGUCAGAGGUGAAAUUCUUGGAUUUAUUGAAGACUAACUACUGCGAAAGCAUUUGCCAAGGAUGUUUUCAUUAAUCAAGAACGAAAGUUAGGGGAUCGAAGACGAUCAGAUACCGUCGUAGUCUUAACCAUAAACUAUGCCGACUAGGGAUCGGAUGAUGUUAAUUUUUUAAUGUACUCAUUCGGCGCCUUA